GCCUUUGGGGUGUAACAGUAGCACACUUAGCUCAUAUUUGAGAGGAUCAGGUUCGAGUUCUGGCAAGGGCA
rnacentral:tRNA from 1 species